rnacentral:rRNA from 1 species
GACGUAGGGCGCGAGCGUUGUCCGGAUUUAUUGGGCGUAAAGAGCUCGUAGGCGGCUUGUCGCGUCGACUGUGAAAACUUGGGGCUCAACCCCAAGCUUGCAGUCGAUACGGGCAGGCUAGAGUUCGGUAGGGGAGACUGGAAUUCCUGGUGUAGCGGUGAAAUGCGCAGAUAUCAGGAGGAACACCGAUGGCGAAGGCAGGUCUCUGGGCCUGUACUGACGCUCAUGCACGAAAGCGUGGGGAGCAAACAGG